UACGUAGGCAGCGAGCGUUGUUCGGAGUUACUGGGCGUAAAGAGUGCGUAGGCGGUUUUCUAAGUUUUGGUGUGAAAUCUCCCGGCUUAACUGGGAGGGUGCGCCGAAAACUGGAAGGCUUGAGUAUGGGAGAGGUAAGCGGAAUUCCUGGUGUAGCGGUGAAAUGCGUAGAUAUCAGGAGGAACACCUGCGGUGUAGACGGCUUACUGGACCAUAACUGACGCUGAGGCACGAAAAGCGUGGGUAGCAAACAGG
rnacentral:rRNA from 1 species